rnacentral:rRNA from 1 species
GACGAACGCUGGCGGCGUGCUUAACACAUGCAAGUCGAGCGGAAAGGCGCUGCGCUUGUGGGGCGCUCGAGUGGCGAACGCGUGAGUAAAACGUGAGUAUACUGCACUUAACAUUGGGAUAACUUCACGAAACAGGGGCUAUUAUCGGAUAGGAGAUCUUGCUGCAUAGGGGGGGUUGGAAAGUGACGGCUGUUGUGGCUGGACUAGCGGCUUAUCAGCUACAUUGUGGGGUAGGGGAUUACAAAGCCUUUGAAGGGUAGCCGGCCUGAGAGGGUGGCCGGGCACAUUGGGACUGAGAUACGGAGCAGACUGCUACGGGAGGCAGCAGUGGGGAGUAUUGCAGAAUGGGCGGAAGCCUGAGGCAGCAACGCCGCGUGCGGGAUGACGGCCUUCGGGGUGUAAACCGCUGUGGCAUGUGACGAAGCGUGAGUGACGGUAACGGGUAAAGAAGCACCGGCUAACUACGUG